rnacentral:pre_miRNA from 1 species
UCAGGCAAAGGGACAUUUACAUAUGCUUUUUAAAAUUUGUUUGAAUUGAGGUAGAGUAAAUAUCUGUAUUCUCCUUUGCCUGCAG